UACGUAGGGGGCAAGCGUUGUCCGGAUUUAUUGGGCGUAAAGAGCGUGUAGGCGGCCAGGUAGGUCUGCUGUGAAAACUCGAGGCUCAACCUCGAGAUGUCGGCGGAAACCGUCUGGCUAGAGUCCGGAAGAGGAGAGUGGAAUUCCUGGUGUAGCGGUGAAAUGCGCAGAUAUCAGGAAGAACACCUAUGGCGAAGGCAGCUCUCUGGGACGGUACUGACGCUGAGACGCGAAAGCAUGGGGAGCGAACAGG
rnacentral:rRNA from 1 species